rnacentral:rRNA from 1 species
CAUGCAAGUCGAACGAAGGCUUCGGCCUUAGUGGCGCACGGGUGCGUAACGCGUGGGAAUCUGCCCUUGGGUUCGGAAUAACAGUGAGAAAUUACUGCUAAUACCGGAUGAUGUCGAAAGACCAAAGAUUUAUCGCCCGAGGAUGAGCCCGCGCAGGAUUAGCUAGUUGGUGAGGUAAGAGCUCACCAAGGCGACGAUCCUUAGCUGGUCUGAGAGGAUGAUCAGCCACACUGGGACUGAGACACGGCCCAGACUCCUACGGGAGGCAGCAGUGGGGAAUAUUGGACAAUGGGCGAAAGCCUGAUCCAGCAAUGCCGCGUGAGUGAUGAAGGCCUUAGGGUUGUAAAGCUCUUUUACCCGGGAUGAUAAUGACAGUACCGGGAGAAUAAGCCCCGGCUAACUCCGUGCCAGCAGCCGCGGUAAUACGAAGGGGGCUAGCGUUGUUCGGAAUUACUGGGCGUAAAGCGUGCGCAGGCGGUAAUGUAAGACAGUUGUGAAAUCCCCGGGCUCAACCUGGGAACUGCAUCUGUGACUGCAUUGCUGGAGUACGGUAGAGGGGGAUGGAAUUCCGCGUGUAGCAGUGAAAUGCGUAGAUAUGCGGAGGAACACCGAUGGCGAAAGGCAAUCCCCUGGACCUGUACUGACGCUCA